rnacentral:rRNA from 1 species
AUUGAACGCUGGCGGCAGGCCUAACACAUGCAAGUCGAGCGGUAGAGAGGUGCUUGCAUCUCUUGAGAGCGGCGGACGGGUGAGUAAUGCCUAGGAAUCUGCCUAGUGGUGGGGGGAUAACGUUCGGAAACGGACGCUAAUACCGCAUACGUCCUACGGGAGAAAGCGGGGGAUCUUCGGACCUCGCGCCAUUAGAUGAGCCUAGGUCGGAUUAGCUAGUUGGUGAGGUAAUGGCUCACCAAGGCGACGAUCCGUAACUGGUCUGAGAGGAUGAUCAGUCACACUGGAACUGAGACACGGUCCAGACUCUACGGGAGGCAGCAGUGGGGGAAUUUUGGACAAUGGGCGGCAAGCCUGAUCCAGCAAUGCCGCGUGCAGGAUGAAGGCCUCGGUUGUAA